rnacentral:rRNA from 1 species
AUUGAACGCUGGCGGCAGGCCUAACACAUGCAAGUCGAACGGUAACAGGAAGAAGCUUGCUUCUUUGCUGACGAGUGGCGGACGGGUGAGUAAUGUCUGGGAAACUGCCUGAUGGAGGGGGAUAACUACUGGAAACGGUAGCUAAUACCGCAUAACGUCGCAAGACCAAAAAGGGGGACCUUCGGGCCUCUUGCCAUCGGAUGUGCCCAGAUGGGAUUAGCUAGUAGGUGGGGUAACGGCUCACCUAGGCGACGAUCCCUAGCUGGUCUGAGAGGAUGACCAGCCACACUGGAACUGAGACACGGUCCAGACUCCUACGGGAGGCAGCAGUGGGGAAUAUUGCACAAUGGGCGCAAGCCUGAUGCAGCCAUGCCGCGUGUAUGAAGAAGGCCUUCGGGUUGUAAAGUACUUUCAGCGGGGAGGAAGGGAGUAAAGUUAAUACCUGUGCUCAUUGACGUUACCCGCAGAAGAAGCACCGGCUAACUCCGUG